UAGACGUAAAGUUACGCUAAUACCGCAUAUUCUGUGAGCAGGAAAGCAGGGGAUCGCAAGACCUUGCGCUGAUUGAGCGGCCGAUAUCAGAUUAGCUAGUUGGUGGGGUAAAGGCCUACCAAGGCUACGAUCUGUAGCGGGUCUGAGAGGAUGAUCCGCCACACUGGAACUGAGACACGGUCCAGACUCCUACGGGAGGCAGCAGUGGGGAAUUUUGGACAAUGGGGGCAACCCUGAUCCAGCCAUGCCGCGUGAGUGAAGAAGGCCUUCGGGUUGUAAAGCUCUUUCGGCCGGGAAGAAAUCGCAUAGGCUAAUACCCUGUGUGGAUGACGGUACCGGAAUAAGAAGCACCGGCUAACUACGUG
rnacentral:rRNA from 1 species